GUUUCCUACGGGGGGCAGCAGUGGGGAAUAUUGCACAAUGGGGGAAACCCUGAUGCAGCAACGCCGCGUGAGUGAAGAAGUAUUUCGGUAUGUAAAGCUCUAUCGGCAGGGAAGAAGCAAGACGGUACCUGACUAAGAAGCCCCGGCCAACUACGUGCCAGCAGCCGCGGCAAUACGUAGGGGGCGAGCGUUAUCCGGAUUCACUGGGUGUAAAGGGAGCGUAGACGGCCAUGCAAGCCAGGGGUGAAAGCCCGGGGCCCAACCCCGGGACUGCCCUUUGAAC
rnacentral:rRNA from 1 species